GGGGUUGUGGCUCAGCGGUAGAGCACUCACCUCACAUGUGCGAGACGCUGAGAUCAAUCCUCAGCACCACA
rnacentral:tRNA from 1 species